AACUGAAACAUCUAAGUACCCCGAGGAAAAGAAAUCAACCGAGAUUCCCCCAGUAGCGGCGAGCGAACGGGGAGCAGCCCAGAGCCUGAAUCAGUGUGUGUGUUAGUGGAAGCGUCUGGAAAGGCGCGCGAUACAGGGUGACAGCCCCGUACACAAAAAUGCACAUGCUGUGAGCUCGAUGAGUAGGGCGGGACACGUGGUAUCCUGUCUGAAUAUGGGGGGACCAUCCUCCAAGGCUAAAUACUCCUGACUGACCGAUAGUGAACCAGUACCGUGAGGGAAAGGCGAAAAGAACCCCGGCGAGGGGAGUGAAAAAGAACCUGAAACCGUGUACGUACAAGCAGUGGGAGCACGCUUAGGCGUGUGACUGCGUACCUUUUGUAUAAUGGGUCAGCGACUUAUAUUCUGUAGCAAGGUUAACCGAAUAGGGGAGCCGAAGGGAAACCGAGUCUUAACUGGGCGUUAAGUUGCAGGGUAUAGACCCGAAACCCGGUGAUCUAGCCAUGGGCAGGUUGAAGGUUGGGUAACACUAACUGGAGGACCGAACCGACUAAUGUUGAAAAAUUAGCGGAUGACUUGUGGCUGGGGGUGAAAGGCCAAUCAAACCGGGAGAUAGCUGGUUCUCCCCGAAAGCUAUUUAGGUAGCGCCUCGUGAAUUCAUCUCCGGGGGUAGAGCACUGUUUCGGCAAGGGGGUCAUCCCGACUUACCAACCCGAUGCAAACUGCGAAUACCGGAGAAUGUUAUCACGGGAGACACACGGCGGGUGCUAACGUCCGUCGUGAAGAGGGAAACAACCCAGACCGCCAGCUAAGGUCCCAAAGUCAUGGUUAAGUGGGAAACGAUGUGGGAAGGCCCAGACAGCCAGGAUGUUGGCUUAGAAGCAGCCAUCAUUUAAAGAAAGCGUAAUAGCUCACUGGUCGAGUCGGCCUGCGCGGAAGAUGUAACGGGGCUAAACCAUGCACCGAAGCUGCGGCAGCGACGCUUAUGCGUUGUUGGGUAGGGGAGCGUUCUGUAAGCCUGUGAAGGUGUACUGUGAGGUAUGCUGGAGGUAUCAGAAGUGCGAAUGCUGACAUAAGUAACGAUAAAGCGGGUGAAAAGCCCGCUCGCCGGAAGACCAAGGGUUCCUGUCCAACGUUAAUCGGGGCAGGGUGAGUCGACCCCUAAGGCGAGGCCGAAAGGCGUAGUCGAUGGGAAACAGGUUAAUAUUCCUGUACUUGGUGUUACUGCGAAGGGGGGACGGAGAAGGCUAUGUUGGCCGGGCGACGGUUGUCCCGGUUUAAGCGUGUAGGCUGGUUUUCCAGGCAAAUCCGGAAAAUCAAGGCUGAGGCGUGAUGACGAGGCACUACGGUGCUGAAGCAACAAAUGCCCUGCUUCCAGGAAAAGCCUCUAAGCAUCAGGUAACAUCAAAUCGUACCCCAAACCGACACAGGUGGUCAGGUAGAGAAUACCAAGGCGCUUGAGAGAACUCGGGUGAAGGAACUAGGCAAAAUGGUGCCGUAACUUCGGGAGAAGGCACGCUGAUAUGUAGGUGAAGUCCCUCGCGGAUGGAGCUGAAAUCAGUCGAAGAUACCAGCUGGCUGCAACUGUUUAUUAAAAACACAGCACUGUGCAAACACGAAAGUGGACGUAUACGGUGUGACGCCUGCCCGGUGCCGGAAGGUUAAUUGAUGGGGUUAGCGCAAGCGAAGCUCUUGAUCGAAGCCCCGGUAAACGGCGGCCGUAACUAUAACGGUCCUAAGGUAGCGAAAUUCCUUGUCGGGUAAGUUCCGACCUGCACGAAUGGCGUAAUGAUGGCCAGGCUGUCUCCACCCGAGACUCAGUGAAAUUGAACUCGCUGUGAAGAUGCAGUGUACCCGCGGCAAGACGGAAAGACCCCGUGAACCUUUACUAUAGCUUGACACUGAACAUUGAGCCUUGAUGUGUAGGAUAGGUGGGAGGCUUUGAAGUGUGGACGCCAGUCUGCAUGGAGCCGACCUUGAAAUACCACCCUUUAAUGUUUGAUGUUCUAACGUGGACCCGUAAUCCGGGUUGCGGACAGUGUCUGGUGGGUAGUUUGACUGGGGCGGUCUCCUCCUAAAGAGUAACGGAGGAGCACGAAGGUUGGCUAAUCCUGGUCGGACAUCAGGAGGUUAGUGCAAUGGCAUAAGCCAGCUUGACUGCGAGCGUGACGGCGCGAGCAGGUGCGAAAGCAGGUCAUAGUGAUCCGGUGGUUCUGAAUGGAAGGGCCAUCGCUCAACGGAUAAAAGGUACUCCGGGGAUAACAGGCUGAUACCGCCCAAGAGUUCAUAUCGACGGCGGUGUUUGGCACCUCGAUGUCGGCUCAUCACAUCCUGGGGCUGAAGUAGGUCCCAAGGGUAUGGCUGUUCGCCAUUUAAAGUGGUACGCGAGCUGGGUUUAGAACGUCGUGAGACAGUUCGGUCCCUA
rnacentral:rRNA from 1 species